UAGUGUCUUGGACCUAAAGUGCAGCCCAGUAGAACCGAUAUUUGUUUCUGCUGCAGCAUCCAGAGGCUACAGCUCAAAUUAUACUGAUACUUGGGGGUUUGCCUCUUUAACUGUCUGGAACAUGAAGACAUGGAAAGCUAUGUCCUUCCUCUUGGUGAAGAUCCACCAGCAAUAACUUCCCUUGGAUUCAAUCACAACGGAAAG